UACGAAGGGGGCUAGCGUUGCUCGGAAUCACUGGGCGUAAAGCGCACGUAGGCGGCCUUCUAAGUCGAACGUGAAAUCCCCGGGCUCAACCCGGGAACUGCGUCCGAGACUGAAAGGCUUGAAUCCGGGAGAGGGAUGUGGAAUUCCAGGUGUAGCGGUGAAAUGCGUAGAUAUCUGGAGGAAUACCGGUGGCGAAGGCGGCAGCCUGGACCGGCAUUGACGCUGAUGAGCGAAAGCUAGGGGAGCAAACGGG
rnacentral:rRNA from 1 species